UACGUAGGGUGCGAGCGUUAAUCGGAAUUACUGGGCGUAAAGUGUGCGCAGGCGGCUUCGCAAGUCGAGUGUGAAAUCCCCGAGCUUAACUUGGGAAUUGCGCUCGAAACUACGGAGCUGGAGUGUGGCAGAGGAAGGUGGAAUUCCACGUGUAGCGGUGAAAUUCGUAGAUAUCGGGAGGAACACCGGUGGCGAAGGCGGAUCUCUGGGCCUGUCCUGACGCUCAGGCGCGAAAGCUAGGGGAGCGAACAGG
rnacentral:rRNA from 1 species